rnacentral:rRNA from 1 species
UACGGAGGGUGCGAGCGUUGUCCGGAAUCAUUGGGCGUAAAGGGCGCGUAGGUGGCCCGGUCAGUCUUUGGUGAAAGCGCGGGGCUCAACCCUGCGUCGGCCAGGGAUACUGCCGCGGCUCGAGCACUGUAGAGGCAGGCGGAAUUCCGGGUGUAGCGGUGGAAUGCGUAGAGAUCCGGAAGAACACCGGUGGCGAAGGCGGCUCUCUGGACCACAACUGACGCUGAUGCGCGAAAGCUAGGGGAGCAAACAGG